AGAGUUUGAUCAUGGCUCAGGACGAACGCUGGCGGCGUGCUUAACACAUGCAAGUCGAGCGAUGAAGCUCCUUCGGGAGUGGAUUAGCGGCGGACGGGUGAGUAACACGUGGGUAACCUGCCUCAUAGAGGGGAAUAGCCUUUCGAAAGGAAGAUUAAUACCGCAUAAGAUUGUAGUUUCGCGUGAAACAGCAAUUAAAGGAGUAAUCCGCUAUGAGAUGGACCCGCGUCGCAUUAGCUAGUUGGUGAGGUAACGGCUCACCAAGGCGACGAUGCGUAGCCGACCUGAGAGGGUGAUCGGCCACAUUGGGACUGAGACACGGCCCAGACUCCUACGGGAGGCAGCAGUGGGGAAUAUUGCACAAUGGGGGAAACCCUGAUGCAGCAACGCCGCGUGAGUGAUGAAGGUCUUCGGAUUGUAAAACUCUGUCUUCAGGGACGAUAAUGACGGUACCUGAGGAGGAAGCCACGGCUAACUACGUGCCAGCAGCCGCGGUAAUACGUAGGUGGCAAGCGUUGUCCGGAUUUACUGGGCGUAAAGGGAGCGUAGGUGGAUAUUUAAGUGGGAUGUGAAAUACUCGGGCUUAACCUGAGUGCUGCAUUCCAAACUGGAUAUCUAGAGUGCAGGAGAGGAAAGUAGAAUUCCUAGUGUAGCGGUGAAAUGCGUAGAGAUUAGGAAGAAUACCAGUGGCGAAGGCGACUUUCUGGACUGUAACUGACACUGAGGCUCG
rnacentral:rRNA from 1 species